rnacentral:rRNA from 1 species
UGCCGAUAAGAAUUUCAGUUCACUUUAAGAUUGCCAUAGGAAUAAAAAAAUCAAAAUGUAAUCUUAAAUUUUAGCCUGAAGAGGGACAGCUCUUCAGGAACGGAAACAACCUCAUAUAGUGAAUAAACCCUGUCUACUUAAACCAUUGUUGGCCUAAAAGCAGCCACCAAUAAAGAAAGCGUUAAAGCUCAACACUACAAACCCUUAAUACCAUAAAUCACAAUGAAUUCCUAUAAAUACUAAUCGGGCUAAUCUAUAACUAUAUAGAUGAAAUACUGUUAACAUGAGUAACAAGAACACCGUUCUCCAAGCACAAGCCUAUAACAACCCGGAUGACCAUUGUUAGUUAACAUAAUUAGGUUAACACACCACCAAUAAAGCUAACCUAAACACGAAAUGUUGACCCAACACAGGCGUGCAACAAGGAAAGAUUAAAAGAAGUAAAAGGAACUCGGCAAACAAGAAUCCCGCCUGUUUACCAAAAACAUCACCUCUAGCAUAGAAAGUAUUAGAGGCACUGCCUGCCCAGUGACAAGAGUUCAACGGCCGCGGUAUCCUGACCGUGCAAAGGUAGCAUAAUCACUUGUUCCUUAAUUGGGGACUGGAAUGAAUGGCCACACGAGGAUUCAACUGUCUCUUACCUCUAAUCAGUGAAAUUGACCUCCCCGUGAAGAGGCGGGGAUAAAAUAAUAAGACGAGAAGACCCUAUGGAGCUUUAAUUUACUGACUUAGCUAUACAAUUAAUUACCCUAAUGGACCAAAAAAAAGAAGUAAGCCAGAAAUUUCGGUUGGGGUGACCUCGGAGAAUAAAACAACCUCCGAAUGAUUUUAACCAAGACCCACAAGUCAAAGUAUUCAAAAUCAAAUUGACCCAAUUCAUUUGAUCAACGGACCAAGUUACCCUAGGGAUAACAGCGCAAUCCUAUUCAAGAGUUCAUAUCGACAAUUAGGGUUUACGACCUCGAUGUUGGAUCAGGACAUCCCAAUGGUGCAGCAGCUAUUAAUGGUUCGUUUGUUCAACGAUUAAAGUCCUACGUGAUCUGAGUCAGACCGAUAU